rfam:Lactobacillus florum 8D Contig00014, whole genome shotgun sequence.
UGUCGUGUAGUUCAGUUGGUAGAAACACCUGACUGUUAAUCAGGAUGUCGCUGGUUCGAGCCCAGCCACGACAG